CCGUCCGUCGGGCGAUUCCCCACUCAAUUCCCUCAUCUCCUCUUCGUCCACGAUCCCGCACGCCUCCUCUUCGUCCACGAUGCCGCCUCCCCUCAUCUCCCCUUCCCUUCCUCCUCCGCCGCCGACGUCCGCCCGGCCGCCCCCCGUGCAGCUUCCUCUUCGAGGACGGCGCCCCUCUCUCUUGCUCUACCCGCUGCCUCUUCUCUCUCCCUUCUUCCUCUGCCCGCUGCAAUCAGAGCCGCCGCCGCUUCCUUCCUGCGCCAGUUCCCGCCGCCAACGACGGGCGCCUGAGGAGAGGGCCGCGGGCCUCCGCUCGCUGUGCCUGCCCCCACCGUUCACCGCCCCCGCGCCGGCGCUCCUCCUCAUCGAGCUGCCUCCGCCGCCCCCACCCCCGCCCUCCUCUUCGAGGACGGCGCCUACGCCCGCCGCCGAUCACCGCUAAUGGAGGGACGUCGAGCGAGUCUACCUCCACCAGCCAGGUCGCUUCCAGUGCGUCGGCGUCCGCGGCUCCGGCCACUCGCGGCGCGCGUGCGUUUUGGGGACUCGCGGUGGGGCUCGUGAAACGGCGGUUCCGGCACGUCCUGGACAUCGUGGGGAGCUCUGUGGACUGCAACCGCUCCACUACUGCAGGUAAUCUCCUUCCGCAUCUACAAAAGGCCAGGUACGAGCUAUCGCUGUGAGUCUGAACUUUACUUUUUUUUGAGGGAAUGGACUUUACUACUCGCUGGACCACAAAUGGGACCUUGAAAUGCAUUUCUUUGUGUGGAUCUGAAAAUAGCAGUGUACUGAUGUUUGGAUCUGAAAAUAGACUUCUAUAUAAAGGAUUGUUGGUUGGAUCUGCCAGCAAAGAAGGAGAAGCGUAGUAACAUGACAUGCAGAUUAUUGUCUCAAAAAGUCAUUGUGUAAGUGAUUAGCGUAUGCAUUUCAUUAAUGAGAAUUAGGGAGACCAUCAUGUAGCUGUCUCUUGUGGCCGACUUUUCUUUUACAUCUGCAGCCAUGUCUGACCUACCUAGCUUUCUACUUCCUUUUGCAUAUUGAUUUCAACAGGUUUAGUGAUCACAAACAAGAAAUGAUCAUGUCGGGUUUUAUUUUUAUAAUGAAGCUUAUAUCUAUCUAGAUUAUUUCUGCCAACUCUUCUCUGUACAAAACCAGUAGGAUGUUGGUUCAUUUCUAUUAUUUGUUCCAUUUCUAAGAUGGUUUACUUUGUUGAUGCAUUUAUCGUAAAUACACUAUGGCAUCACAAAACCAGUUGGAUGUUGGCCCUUGCUUUUUAGAUAUUCCACAUAUAUAUUCUCAGAUGUGUAUUUGAUGAUAUAUUGUCUUCUACUAUUCCUGAAAAUAGUUGUACUCCCUAUUGUGUUGUGACAUAUGUCUAGCAGCAACCAGGUUGGCAAUGCCUAUGCCACUGCUUUUGCUUAUUUCUGCAUGCUGUCCAAAAGUUGUAUUUGGGUUACCUGAUUGUUUACAAUGCUCUUCAGAGUAUAUCGUAUUAAUAUAAGUUCUCCAUUUGAGGCUACUACAUAUACUGUUUAUACAAAUAAUAUCUAUCUGUAUUGCUAUCUACAAGACCUAAUCUCUAGCUGUUUUCUCAUAAAUUUCACGUAUAUUUCUUGUGCAAAAAAUGGUGCGGCUGCGACUGCCACAAAAAAAAUCUACGUGCAUAGAACUCGAAGAGUCUGAACAUUUGGAUGUGAUAAUAUCACAUAUACCAGUUUCUUCCAGUCCUAUAACAGAUCACGCAUGGCUUUUGAUUUUGUUGCUGUUAAUGAAACCUGGGAGGAACCUGUCCAUUGAAGUGUGGUGGGUCUAUCUUACUAUCUAGAUCGAUGAACACGUGUAAAAAAAGGUACCUUUCAAAAGAGCUGGUUAUUAUGGAGUUGCAUCAUGAUUGUUUUUUUACUUGACAAAAGAGAAUGCAGAUCUUAAGGUUGUUGCUAUGUUGUUCCUCUAGGGAAAAGUUUGUGAGUGUUUAAAUAAAAUCAAUUUGUCCAGUAUUAGCUCAUGGACAGUGUCAUGUAUCCCUAAGGGAAGUUUAUCUUUCUCAACAUUGCUGAACAGAGGAGAAGCAAACAGAACAUUGGGAAGGUAGGAAGAUUAGGGCAGUUGGAGCCAUGGAGGUGUCUCAGGACUGGAUGAGCUAUGGAGAUGCACAAUGAUCGAUUGGAGAGGGAGAAAGUGAGUGAAAGACUAGAUUUAGGUGGAGAAAUAUAUGUUCUAGGAAGAGAAAGAAUUGGAUCAAUGCAUAGUGAUCAGCAGAGAGGACUAAGUGAGAGAUAUACUAGCAUUUGGUACAUAUUUGAUAGAGACAUGACAUAGCAUUGCGCUUAAUUCGACAUGUGUUCUUGAAAUACAAUAAUUGGAUUUGUCAUUUUAUUUCUUCCGUAGCAACGCACGGGCACUCUGCUAGUUUCAGUAGAAGAGAGAGAUACAUCUGAGAGGUAAGUGUUUGGUUCGUCUAUAUAUAUGCAGCAGCACAGUUCAGACCAUGCUAAGAGAAGUUAGGUCCAUGCCAUUGAUCAUGUAAACCUUUACUGAGUCCAGAUUGCUAUAAGAAUACAUAGCCUGCUAGUAUACGUAAUUAUCUGUUGGUUAAUUGACAUCUUUGUGUGCACAUCCCUGAAAAGAAUACAAUGAUGAUUUACUCCUGGUAGUUAGAACAUUCAGUGUUGCUCAGUACAUGAUUGCCUUGCUUGAAUGCCUGUGUAAUAAGUUGUAGAGAUUAGAUAAACUGAGGCUUGUUGCUUCUAAGGUUACAAAUAGGUAGAGUAGUGGCUACUCUUCAGUAGCAUAUCAGUACCUUGCUUAUACUAUUUUGAAUAAGGGGGAUAAUAAGAGUAACCUGAAACUUGUUACUGGUAAAGAUCAACCAUAAGCAUCCAGUAGCCAACCAUAGUUUCUAGAAAUAGUUAUGCUCCUACACCACAAGUCCAGAUGCUAAUUAGAGAUAUAGGUUCCAGGAAACAACAUUUAUACAUGUAUUCAACCAUUUUAAUAGGUGAACCUCUUGUGCCUUAAUAAAACCCAAAUCAGUAUCUUAUUAGACUGCAUGUUCUUACAGUGACCCUGUUUCACAAUUACUUGUUCUAUCAUCUAGAAAUAGUACAUAAGUAAAAUUUCUCAUGCCAGUUAAUCAUGCUGUAGAAUUAGUAGCUCCAGGAUUCAGAAUUGCAUCUAACUUACAAUUGUACAGUAUAAGCAUGUACUGGUACAUCAUUUGAAAUCACUAGGCAACCUUUGUGAAUCUGCUAUUAAAUUAACUCUAUCUAGCACUGCAAUAAUCUGUGGCUUGGAUAGCCUGCAUGAAUCAAGCUAUGGGUAGGAUGAACUUGGCAGAACUUGUUUGCUCUUUGGUUGCCUGAAUUGAUGCCAUGCAAGAUAAACUAAGUAACCAUGACUGAAUUGAGCUACUUGUUUCUGCUUCAAGCUUCUGCGUCAUGCUUUGUAUGCCAUUUUGGUGUUCUUUUUCAUUUGGAUUUCAUUCACUCUUUCCGGUUUGAGUCUACCUUGGAAAUUCUUAUCGUCUUAAUUGGGUCUUGGUGUUCUACAUGAUCUUCCGGGUAUCUCAGGCAAGUCCAGUUCUUGUUCAUAUCUGAUGAUUACUUUAUAUCAAAGUUUGCAAAGUAUUCUACUGGUAUCACUUGCAUCAAAAGAAAAGUUUAUCUUCUAAAUAAUAUGGCAUGGAUGUUGUUGAUCGACUGAUGGAGCAGUCGGUGAACUAUUAUGGCUGGUAGUUCAAAGCCUGGCUUUCAUGCCGUGGAAGGUGGAUUCGACUACAAAGGAUAUCACCUUAAGGUUUAAUCAACAACUGCCUACUUGUACUCGAGCGUCGUAGCGACCGCGUUGACCACAUGUCCCUGUAUGGGCGGAGCUGAGCUGAAGUAAUGCCAUCUUAAUGUCCUACCUCCCUGAGAGCAGCUGGGGUGACCUCUACUGUAGGCAACCAACUGCGAUAGAAGGAAUGACAGUUGGAGGUUGACCUCUACUGUAGGCUACCAACUUGUCAUGGUGGGUAGCUAGUGCCUGUGUGUGCCGGCUAACGGCAGAGGGGGUGGGAUUCUAACAACCCGUGAGGCAAGAAGAGCAUAGAAUUCUAAAUAUAAAACUUGACUCUUUUCUCAGAAAUGUUUGUGAAAACAUUGCUUAUCUGGGGACCAUGCGUCCUAGUAGAUCAUAGUGCAUUCAAACACUUGUUGAGUACCUUCUGUACUCGAUGUUCCGCUAAUUGUCAAGAUGGAGACGAGGUACCUUAUUGAGCAAUGAAGGAGAUUACUUCGGGAAUACGUCGUCAAGUGUCUAAAUAGUGGAACAGUUAGGCCAUAAUUUCUGUGAUUCUUGUAAUUGUUAAGUUGUAUUUUACUUGUAAAGGUAAUUCCAAUUAUUUAUGUAUGACAGAAUCCA